rnacentral:rRNA from 1 species
UACCAGCUCUCCGAGUGGUAGGGAUGAUUAUUGGGCUUAAAGCGUCCGUAGCCGGCUUAGCAAGUUUCCUGUUAAACUCAGCGACUCAAUCGUUGGAUCGCGGGAAAUACUACUAGGCUAGGAGGCGGGAGAGGUCAACGGUACUUCUGGGGUAGGGGUGAAAUCCUAUAAUCCCGGGAGGACCACCAGUGGCGAAGGCUGUUGACUAGAACGCGCUCGACGGUGAGGGACGAAAGCUGGGGUAGCAAACCGGAUUAGAUACCCGGGUAGUCCCAGCUGUAAACGAUGCGAGCUAGGUGUUGGAAUGGCUACGGGCCAUUUCAGUGCCGCAGGGAAGCCAUUAAGCUCGCCGCCUGGGGAGUACGGCCGCAAGGCUGAAACUUAAAGGAAUUGGCGGGGAGCACCACAAGGCGUGAAGCUUGCGGUUC